AGCAAGCCAGUAAAGAACAGCCCUCCAUGGCCUCUGCAUCGCUCCUGCUCCCUGACCUGCUUAAGUUCCAGUCCUGACUUCCUUGGUGAUGAACAGUAGUGUGGAAAUCUGAUCUCCAGACGCCCGAAGAGAGUCACAGCUGCUAUCUUUUCUCUGAACUAACAACCAGCCUUCAACUCCUGCACAACAUUAACUGUCCCAGGGCUAUGGAGAGAGAUAUGGUUCUCAGCAACAGUUCCAGAGUCUGUCUGCAUGCUGCCAUGCCUCCUGCCAUGAUGAUGAGGAACUAAACCUCUGAAAUGGAGAAUAAAAGCAUCCAACUUUGGAAUCUGGAGACCACCAGACAAGUAAAACAUCUAAGAACAAAGAAGGGUCAUCGUUGAAAGCCUGCCCCCCCAAGCAUAGCUGUAGCCAUUCUGUUCCAUGCCUGCCAGCUAUUUCCUAUUGCUGCUGUAAUCUGCCUGCCAGUCAUUGAUACAGAAAAAUAACUUGACUCAGAGCAAGGUCAUGCUGAUCACAUACCCUGUUAUCUUCUGUAUGAGGUUUAUUAAAUUAAGAUUCCACAAAGAUUUAAGUAGGACCCAUCACAAUAAAGGUCACUAUGAACCAUGUCUAAAACAGCUGGGGUCAGAGCUGACCACCGGGCCUCAUUCCCUGCCCCUGAGUCUGAGCUCGCUGUGUUUUCUGUGGUGUUUGGCCUUUAUACACUGACAGGGAAAGAUGUUCAGGGUUGUAGCCUCAGGCCCGAAUUCUUAGCUACGGCCCUGCUUGAUGUGCAUUCAUACAUCAUCACCAUCUUACUGAGAUCAGGGAUUGUGUGCCUGGUGGAGACAACUCCUGGACCCCAACAAUCAUGGAGAGAAAAUGUCCCAAGAAAGAGAGUAAAUUGUCCAAAUAAUAUGGCUAUCCUCUAUAGACAUGAGUGGCAAAUGGUCUUUAUGUGGUCCCAAUUCAUUUAAAAAAUAAAGCUGGCUUUC
rnacentral:lncRNA from 1 species